rnacentral:ncRNA from 1 species
UCGCCCCUGGCGAUAAAGUAGCCGCCUGUGGCUGCCUUCCUCAUCACGAGGAUAGCCAGAGGCGUUUUC